rnacentral:rRNA from 1 species
CUUACGGGCGGCUGCAGUGGGGAAUAUUGCACAAUGGGCGCAAGCCUGAUGCAGCCAUGCCGCGUGUGUGAACAAGGCCUUCGGGUUGUAAAGCACUUUCAGCGGGGAGGAAGGCGGUGAGGUUAAUAACCUCAUCGAUUGACGUUACCCGCAGAAGAAGCACCGGCUAACUCCGUCCCAGCAGCCGCGGUAAUACGGAGGGUGCAAGCGUUAAUCGGAAUUACUGGGCGUAAAGCGCACGCAGGCGGUCUGUCAAGUCGGAUGUGAAAUCCCCGGGCUCAACCUGGGAACUGCAUUCGAAACUGGCAGGCUAGAGUCUUGUAGAGGGGGGUAGAAUUCCAGGUGUAGCGGUGAAAUGCGUAGAGAUCUGGAGGAAUACCGGUGGCGAAGGCGGCCCCCUGGACAAAGACUGACGCUCAGGUGCGAAAGCGUGGGGAGCAAACAGGAUUAGAUACCCCAGUAGUC